AGGACACGCUGGCGGCGUGGAUUAGGCAUGCAAGUCGAACGGUAUCAUCCUUUCGGGGGUGAGAGAGUGGCGAACUGGUGAGUAACACGUAGGUUAUCUACCCUCAAGACGGGGACAACCCAGGGAAACUUGGGCUAAUACCGGAUGUGAGCAACUUUUAGUUGUUUGAAAGGUGGCGUAAGCUGUCGCUUGGGGAUGAGCCUGCGUCCUAUUAGUUAGUUGGUGAGGUAACGGCUCACCUAGGCAAUGAUAGGUAGGCGGCCUUAACGGGUGGUCGCCCACACUGGGAUUGAGAUACGGCCCAGACUCCUACGGGAGGCAGCAGUCGAGAAUAGUCUACAAUGGUCGGAAGACUGAUAGUGCGACGCCGCGUGAACGAUGAAUCCCUUCGGGGUGUAAAGUUCUUUUAUAUGUGAGCAGUGCUUCUUAUAUUAACAGUAUGGGGAGAGAGAUAUUAGCAUAUGAAUAAGCAACGGCUAACUCCGUG
rnacentral:rRNA from 1 species